UACGGGGGGGGGCAAGCGUUGUCCGGAAUUACUGGGCGUAAAGAGCUCGUAGGUGGUUUGUCGCGUUGUUCGUGAAAACUCACAGCUUAACUGUGGGCGUGCGGGCGAUACGGGCAGACUGGAGUACUGCAGGGGAGACUGGAAUUCCUGGUGUAGCGGUGGAAUGCGCAGAUAUCAGGAGGAACACCCGUGGUGCAGACGGCUUGCUGGACCUCCACUGACGCUGAGGCACGAAAGCGUGGGGAGCGAACAGG
rnacentral:rRNA from 1 species